rnacentral:rRNA from 1 species
CCUAGGGUGGCAGCAGUGAGGAAUAUUGGUCAAUGGACGAGAGUCUGAACCAGCCAAGUAGCGUGAAGGAUGACUGCCUUAUGGGUUGUAAACUUCUUUUAUAUGGGAAUAUAAUGUUACACGUGUGGGAUUUUGUAUGUACCAUAUGAAUAAGGAGCGGCGAACUCCGUGCCAGCAGACGCGGUAAUACGGAGGAUCCGUGCGUUAUCCGGAUUUAUUGGGUUUAAAGGGAGCGUAGGUGGAUUGUUAAGUCAGUGGUGAAAGUUUGCAGCUCAAACGUAAAAUGGCAGUUGAAACUGUCAGUCUAGAGUACAGUAGAGGUAGGCGGAAUUCUUGGUGUAGCGGUGAAAUGCUUAGAUAUCACGAGGAACUCCGAUUGCGAAGGCGGCUCACUGGACUGCAACUGACACUGAGGCACGAAAGUGUGGGUAUCAAACAGGAUUAGAUACCCUGGUAGUC